rnacentral:lncRNA from 1 species
AUAAGAUAGAGCAAGUUUAUAGAAACUUUACACAAAGGGAGGAUCCGCAACGUGGAAAUGUUGGCGGAGUUGAAGAUUCAUACAAAAAUGACGAAACUUGAAAGUUUCAAUUACUGCAUUACUUUUUGGACUUAUUGUAUUAGACUUACGUCGCCAUAAUAUGAAAUAAAGAUGAUAAAAUA